rnacentral:tRNA from 1 species
GUCAGGAUGGCCGAGUGGUCUAAGGCGCCAGACUCAAGGCGUAGCAGUCUUCCGUAGCAGACGGGUGUUCUGGUCUCCGUAUGGAGGCGUGGGUUCGAAUCCCACUUCUGACA